rnacentral:lncRNA from 1 species
UAGUUAAUUAUUUUAGACCGAUGUGUACAUGCGGUGUGAUGAAAACAAAGUACUAUUCACAUUUAUAGAUAAUACUUUAUUUAAGACAAACACAAGUAUACAUGAGGUAGGUGAUUUCUCUUUGUCAACAUAUAUUUCAUUUCAUAAUGCCCAAUGGGCUACGUACAGAGGAAUUAAAGUCUACAAGGCCCAUUUAAAAUAAAACAUGUUUGGUAAGCAAAUGACAAAUCAAUUGAAACUUGCAUGUAUCCAUCUGUCUUCCACCGAAGAAUGUCAGGGCCACAUGGCAGCAAACUUGAAGGGUUUCUAGCAUCUUCCACCGACCUCUCGAUUCUCCACCGCCGUUGGUGUAUUCUCCACCACUAAUCCACUAUCUUCACCAUUUCAAUCGCCACCAUUCA